rnacentral:rRNA from 1 species
AGUUUGAUCAUGGCUCAGAACGAACGCUGGCGGCGUGCCUAACACAUGCAAGUCGAACGAGAAAUCCGGCACUCAGGCAACUGAGUGCCGGAGAGUAAAGUGGCGCACGGGUGAGUAACACGUGGGUAACCUACCCCCGAAUCUGGGAUAACCUCGCGAAAGCGUUGCUAAUACCGGAUAUUGUCCUAUUGGUUGUGACCUUUAGGAUGAAAGGCAACCUCUUCAUGAAAGUUGUCGUUCAGGGAUGGGCCCGCGUACCAUUAGCUUGUUGGUGGGGUAACGGCUCACCAAGGCUACGAUGGUUAGCUGGUCUGAGAGGAUGAUCAGCCACACUGGAACUGAAACACGGUCCAGACUCCUACGGGAGGCAGCAGUGAGGAAUUUUGCGCAAUGGGGGAAACCCUGACGCAGCAACGCCGCGUGAGUGAAGAAGGCUUUCGGGUCGUAAAGCUCUGUCAAAUGGGAAAAAAGUCUGAUGAUCAAUAGUUGUCAGAUCUGAUGGUACCACUGGAGGAAGCACCGGCUAACUCCGUGCCAGCAGCCGCGGUAAUACGGAGGGUGCAAGCGUUGUUCGGAAUUACUGGGCGUAAAGGGCGUGCAGGCGGGUUGGUAAGUCAGAUGUGAAAGCCCUGGGCUCAACCCAGGAAGUGCAUUUGAAACUGCCAUCCUUGAGUAUGGGAGAGGAGAGUGGAAUUCCCAAUGUAGAGGUGAAAUUCGUAGAUAUUGGGAGGAACACCCGUGGCGAAGGCGACUCUCUGGACCAAUACUGACGCUGAGACGCGAAAGCGUGGGGAGCAAACAGGAUUAGAUACCCUGGUAGUCCACGCUGUAAACGAUGAGAACUAGGUGUAGCGGGUAUUGACCCCUGCUGUGCCGCAGUUAACGCAUUAAGUCUCCGCCUGUAGACCGCCGC